CGAUUUCAUCCCAAGCAGGCAGUACACCUCCUGCUCCUUCUGCUUCUGCUGCUGAUGAAGCAUUUUGGCUUUUCUUCGUACCCCAAGGACCCAUUACACCUCGUACUCCUGAUCCUGAUGUACGGCAGAGAGUGCCUAGACACAGAGCCUAUACUGUGCCUGGAACCAACGUAGCCUCCAUUGUGAUACCAGCCAGACCCUACAGUGUUCUGACACCAACAUACCCGCCAGCAUGAUACCAGGCAGAACAGGUUUUGGGUCAUCAAUGGAACCAGCCAUCAACCUGAUACCAACCAGAACCAAUAUUGGGUCAUCCAUGGAUGCAUCCUCCCAUUUGAGACAAAGCUCUUACUGUGCCUUCAAGCAACAUGCCCGCCCGUCUGAAAGGAAACAGAGCUGGCACUGGGUUUUCAGUCAACCCAUCCUUCUGUUUCUGACCAUGCAGAGCCAGUUCUUUGCCUUCAGUAGAUCCUUUCAGCCGGGAUGUGUUACCCAGCACCAGAAGAAAUCAGGAAAUUUAAUUAUCAGAUGUGACGGAGUUCUUCAUCAAAAUACUAGCUUCUCUUCGGAAGGAAAAAGAUCUA